ensembl:rRNA 5S_rRNA 5S ribosomal RNA
UUCAUUGAUAUAAUAUCACCCUGCUGCCCAAUACCGGUUACUCACUAAAGUUAAGCAGGGCUGUGCCUGGUCUGUAUCUGGAUGGGAGACCACUAGGGAAAACUAGGUUGCUGUUGGAA